rnacentral:rRNA from 1 species
AUUGAACGCUGGCGGCAUGCCUUACACAUGCAAGUCGAACGGUAACAGGUCUUCGGAUGCUGACGAGUGGCGAACGGGUGCGUAAUACAUCGGAACGUGCCCAGACGUGGGGGAUAACGAGGCGAAAGCUUUGCUAAUACCGCAUACGAUCUAAGGAUGAAAGCAGGGGACCGCAAGGCCUUGUGCGUUUGGAGCGGCCGAUGGCAGAUUAGGUAGUUGGUGGGAUAAAAGCUUACCAAGCCGACGAUCUGUAGCUGGUCUGAGAGGACGACCAGCCACACUGGGACUGAGACACGGCCCAGACUCCUACGGGAGGCAGCAGUGGGGAAUUUUGGACAAUGGGCGAAAGCCUGAUCCAGCAAUGCCGCGUGCAGGAUGAAGGCCUUCGGGUUGUAAACUGCUUUUGUACGGAAAGAAAAGGCUCUGGCUAAUACCUGGGGCACAUGACGGUACCGUAAGAAUAAGCACCGGCUAACUACGUG